UAGAAAUCCUAAAAUCUAAGAUAAGUAGUUCGUGAAACUGAGAUUUAAUUAUAUUUUGAUCAUUCUAUCCUAUUAAAGCAAUCAACAAUCUGUUCUUACACAAUAGAAAUUAUGGAUUCGAAAAUUAAUUGGUUGUUGAGUUGUUAAAGCUUCAUGUCUCUCUGGUUUCGUUCAUCUUCCUUUAGAAGAAACAGGCCGACGAGAAACUCAUUUCUCUUCUUCUUCUUCUUCGCCGUUCUUGGUUUUUUUUCUUCUCAACUUAUUAUUUUUGUUGUUCUUCGCUUUUUAUUCUUCUCAAUAGCAUGAACUGAGAAAUCGUUCAUCUCAAUUAAGAAGAAAUCUGGAGAAUUAAAUGGAUCAGGAAGGUGUUACUAAGGUUAUGAUUUGAUUUUGGUUAGGGUUCGUAUUGAUUGAAGAACGACGAAUCAGUAAGAAAUAAAAUUAGAGUUUCUGAUGUUAGUAUUGAGUUUGUGCAAAAUCGAAUGAGGAAUUGGUGGAUUGAAUAACAGAAAGAGGAGAUGGUGGAUCUGUAUUAACUCGGGUUAUAAAGGGCUAGGGUGAAUCAGAGAGAGGAAUUUAGGGUUUGGAAAUUGAUUUAAGUUUCGAUUUAGUGAUAGAUAAGAAGAAAUCAAAGACUGGGUUUGGUGGUUUGAGAUUUGAAUCGAUGUUUUCAACUUUGAUUAGAGAGAAUUAGGUAGUUUUGUUGCAUUUGAGCUGAGAUUGAUUUCAAGGUGAAGAGAUGGCAGUUUUGCUGUUGAUCUCUCGAUGGAAAAUAUGAUGAGGACUUGGACAAUAUAGGGUUGGUGGUGAAUCUGUGUGGUCUUUUCUCAAGAUAAGAUGGUGGUUGAAUGGUGUAGUGAAAGGGUUGGUAUUGAUUUCAGUAGAAAAGGUUUGAGUAUGGAGAUGCAGUGAUGUUUGUAUGCAGAAGCUGGCUUGAGAAUGUGUGCAGAUUUCUUGCAGGGAGAAUGGUUGUUGUAGUGGUAGCUGCAAUGAAAUAGAAAAUGGAGCCAAUGAUGCUGCAAUAUGAGUCAGUGUUGGUAGUUGUUGUGCAGGCAAGAAGCUACAGAAGGAGUUGGUGGUGAUUGAAUUUGGUUGAGGCUGAUGUUGUUGGUUAGCAAGCAGCUGCUGCAGGAGAUGGAACUGGUGGGAAAGAAUGUGAAUGAUUGUUGCAGUGGAUAAUUUUCAAGUGUUUGGUGUCGUUGUUGGGAUUAGGCAAAUGGUCUUAGUGGAUGGUUAGAUGAGACUGAAAUGGUGUUGCAGCUACAGAUGGGUGCAAAUAAACUGAAGUUGGUGGUUAUUAUAAUGAAAUUUCUAUUGCAGUUGCAAGUGGUGGCUGCGUCAGGUGGUGCUGAGUAUGGUUGUGAGUUGCAAGUGUUACCCAUGGUCACAAUGGCUGUGUGAAAGCUGUUCAAACUGGUAGAGCACCACAUGCUGAUCACCGUAGGGUCAUCAGGGUUGUGUUAACAAUUUGGCAUGGUAUUCAAGCCGGUCACUCCUUGUAUCUGGAUCAGAUGAUGCGCUAGUAUAAUGCUCCUAACCUCUAUCUUCUUCAUUCACCCCUGAUGAAUGUUCUUACACUUUCCCCCUAGGUUUCAUGCUUCUGAAAUUAUGCAAGGGAUUUCACACUCCAGGAUUUUUUGUGCUUCACUUCUAUAUGGAUCCCUAAUGCUUGCACAAUUUGUUGCAGAUUAAUAUUUGGAGUUAUUCAAGCUGGAAGCUUUUGCAUAGUAUAGAGAGUGGACAUUCUGCAAAUAUAUUUUGUGCAGAAUUUGUUCCUGAGACUUGUGAUGAACUUGUGGUGUCUCGGGCAGGAGAUGCAGAGGUAAUCUUCAGAUGAGGAAUAAUUUCAAGUAUUAUGCAAAACCAAAGUGCAUUUUCAUGUACUUGGUGAGUGUGGUAGAAAACAUUUACUGAUUUCUUUUCAGGUCCGCCAAUUUAACUUAUCUCUCUUAACUACUGGAAAACCUGGAGACAACGGAAUAGAACCUUCAGCGUUGUUUCAAUGCCACUCAAGGAGAGUGAAGAAGCUAGCUAAAUACCAGUUAUUUUGCAAGUUGAAGUUGGGAACCCUAAUGUUGUAUGGAGUGCGAGUAAAGAUGGAACUUUGCGGCAGCAUGACUUCAGGGAGGGUACAUCUUGUCCUCCAAAUGGAUCAUCUUACCAAGAAUGUCGUAGUGUUCUACAUCAGUAGCAGAUUCUAAUACCACAGCAACAACAGCUCCAGUUGCAAUUACAACUUCAGCAAUUUCCACUACAGACAUGUUCAUGGAGCCAAAUCAGUUACCGCUUACAGUAUGGGUUUGGAAUUAUGAACUUAAAGCCAGGGAUUAUGGAGAACUUGAUGAAGAAUGCUUGGCAACUAGUAUUUGGGAAGUAUAUGCAUGUUUUGAGUAAGUUCCUAUGUAGUAUGUGAGUGAACUUAUAGUGAAUUA